rnacentral:lncRNA from 1 species
UUUCAAGAAAAAGUUUCUUUCUUUGAAAGGGAAUGCCUUUAAACCCAAGUAUAGAAUCAUAUAUUGAGUGUAUCAAGGUUUAAGAAGCUUAAGAAUACCAGCAUAGAAUGUGUAGAUGAAAUGAGAGGCCAAAUUCUUUAAAAGACCCCAUAUAUAUAUAAUUAAUUUAUAUUUCUCCGACGGGUAUGAAAGGCAUAGUGUGGUACCUCCUUUGUUGUGCUAUACUUGCAGGCUCAUUUCAGGAUACCCUUUGAAGGGUAAUAGUGAUCAUGGUCAUGGAACUUUCCUGAUAUCGCUGUUCCUGAUAUCUGGUGAAGGAAAAAAAGGCUUCUUGAUCUGGUGUGAAAAUGGCAAAGAACCAGAACCUCAAAGAUCUACAAUGGGUUCUGCAAGCAAUUAAAACAGAAAGCCUGAACCUUCACAGCAUUUCCUUCUACCUUUCUCAGCCAAUUUCAGGAUGUUACCAAGAAACUGAGAAUUCCAUGAACAUCAACAUUGAAAAAGACAGCAGUACUCACCUUGCCCACAUCCUCAUUGAGUUAGCAACAGCACAAGACACCCAGCCAUCUCUCAGAAACUUGGAGUUGCACUGUGUUGAAUGGGAGUCAGAAC